AUGAUUCAUGGGUUUUUCCUUUUCAUUUUUCAUAGGCUAGUCAAAUUUACAACUGAGAAUGUAGCACAACCAAACAAAAAGUUAUCACCAUAGACAUUAAAAGACAAUCUGAAAAUGAAUACAGCCCUUUUCCAUGCUAUGGAAUCAUACUGUGUUGCUCCAAAUUUAUCAGUGCAAUCGUACUCAUACAAAGAAUUGAGGAAAUGGCAUACUGCUUUCCCACAGCGUUCUUACAUCUAGAUUCUAGAUUUGCUUGACCUAUUUAUUUAUACAGUGCAAUUGCCUAGGAUUUCAUUCACUAAAUUAUUUUAAGAUUCAGAGUGUAUUCUCUCUAGCAGCCUUCCAGGUCUCUCCACUUGAGGUAAACCAGCCCCGCAUGAUAAUGAGUGUAAGCCCCAGCCACUACAAAUAUAUGGAAAAGUUGGUGGCUGUGCCCUGCAAUGUCAAAUUUUCCAGGCAUCCAUCGUUCUGGAAUCCUUGUAGCAUAAACCAACGCUCCAAUUCCAUACAGAACACCCAUCAAAACUUCAUAGCCUGUUGUAUGGAGUGCCUCAGGCUGGUUCCAGAACAAGAUAAGCUUGUGCAGGAUUGGUGCUAUUCCAGACAAGCCCAUGCCAGAGAAGAGAGCUGCUCGUAUGGUGCGAAACUCUGGCGUUUGAAACAUUGGCAGGAGAGAAACCAAGAUUGUGGCAAUUCCCAAUAUGGUUAUGAAUCCCAAAUAGAGAUUGCAGAAGAAAGGGUUACACAUGAAGGAGUAAUAAACAGGAGGGUAAAAGGAGGUACAUAUAAGGGCUGCAAUUCCAGCAUAGUCAAGUCUAAGCAUAAUGUAUGACAAGCGUUCAGAAUGGCAGGAGAGAAGGUGGCAUGUGCUGCUAGCUAGCAAGCAAAACAUGGCCCCGCCGAGGAAAGCAAAAAAUGGCCAUCGUGUGAUUGGCCUCACCAUCAGGGGGGCUAUCAUGUUUGCCACAUCCUCCUUCACGCUAAGCAGAACACAGACAUCUGUGUGGUUGCCACUGAAGAAUCUCUCAGGCAAGCAAUUGUAUAGAAGUUCCAUAAUGUGCCAUCCUGAGAGAGAUGGGAGCAAAUCCAUUGAGGGCAAUGUAGUCUUUAUUUCCUCCCUAAGUUUGUGAAUAUUAGGCAUGGUGGGUAAAGAAGGAAGGCAUUCAUGCAAUUUGUGCAAAUCAGCUUUCAACACAUCUGGAAGUUGUAGAGAGUGAAGAUCAACAACCUUUGGAACCUUCAUGGCAGUGUAUAUGGUCAGGGAAAGGAAAAGGAAGAACCCAAUCAAAUGCGUCCAAACAUUUAAAGUCUCAUUGUGGAUGCUGAAGAUGCUUAGCAGAACCUGCUUCAUAGGCCAUUCAGAUCGAUAAUGGCCCACGAUGUAUUCAUUGUCCCUUAAAUAACCAGGCAAAGAAUGAUAUUCUACUAGCUGGUACUUCACUUUCUUCCACAAUCUCUUCCCUUUCCCUUCCACUGAAGAGCUCACUUGGUGCUUCUCCAUUGUUUCAGAUAUAACCUUUGAGACCUCACUGCUUUGCUUUCCAAUAUCCAUUAUCUGAAAUUGAAGAAGCACCCACUGAGAGAGAAAACCCAGAUGGGGGUUCUUCGGAGAGAGAUUUAUAUAUAAUAUUCUGAGGCGGGUAUAAACAGAGCUGAUGUCAAACGCGACAAAAGGGCACCAAGUGAAACCAAGGCGAUUAAAUUAUAUAAGAAACCAAGAAAUGGGAAAAAAAGAAAGGAGCAUAAAUCUAACCGCCAGACGAUAAGAGAUUCAAUGUUUGAAAUUCUUGUAGAUUGCAAGAAAAAGAAGACAGAAACACACGAGAAAAAUUUGGACCUCAACGUGAGACAUGAGACAUCAUCUUCUCGUUUUAAAGAAAGAGAUAGAGAUGCUUUGGGCUUUGAGGAGAUGCGGAGAGAGAGAGGAGCAGGAGCAAGAGAUGCUCUGAGGAUGCGGAGGUGCCGAAGAUGGAUUCGGCGAGCACUAAACUCUAAUGGUUGCGGAUUUGGC
rnacentral:misc_RNA from 1 species